rnacentral:lncRNA from 1 species
CCUGACUGUGUUUUCUCUCUCUCAGAAGGCCCUUUGCAUGUGCAUCUGCCUGCAGAAAGCCUUGGGUCCUGGUGGAGUGUCUCUCUGAAACUCCACCGCUUUCCCACCCCUGUUGGAACGCCUCCUGGGCUGAUCGGAGCUGCCUGAGACUAUACACUUCUGGACCCAGAGACUGUCCUGCACGUGGCACAGAGCAGGCAUCUGAAGUGAGGGCGUUCAGUGAAUGACCAGAUGGCAAAAAACCCCCAUAAGGUCAUUUAUCCUCUCUUUCAAGAAUAGGACAUCUGACAUUGCUGAAAAGAGACUCCUGGCUUCCUUCACCAUAGGGUUCCUUCUCCAGAUGCAUCCGGAUCCGCCUGCUGGCUCAGCCAUGCUGAAAACUUCCC